rnacentral:rRNA from 1 species
AGAGUUUGAUCCUGGCUCAGGAUGAACGCUGGCGACGUGCUUAACACAUGCAAGUCGAACGAAGCACUUUACUCGAUUUCUUCGAAUUGAGAUUUUAGUGACUGAGUGGCAGAGGGGAGAGUAACGCGUGGGUCCCCUGCCGCACACGGGGGAAUAACAUUUGGAAACGGUUGCUAAUACCGCAUAACCCCACAGAACCCCUUGGCACGUGGGGAAAAACUCCGGGGGAGUGAAAUGGACCCCCGUCUAAUUACCUAGUGGGCAGGGCACCGGCCUACCAAGGCAACAAUCAGAACCCGACCUAAAAGGGUGACCGGCCCCUUUGAAACUGAAACACGGCCCAAACUCCUACGGAAGGCACCAGGGGGAAAUAUGGCACAAGGGGGAAAACCCUGAUGCACCGACCCCCCGGGAUCAAAAAAUUUUUUCGGUAUGUAAAGCUCUAUCACCAGGAAGAAGAAAUGACGGUACCUGACUAAGAAGCUCCGGCUAAAUACGUGCCAGCAGCCGCGGUAAUACGUAUGGAGCAAGCGUUAUCCGGAUUUACUGGGUGUAAAGGGAGCGCAGGCGGCAGGGUAAGUCUGAUGUGAAAGCCCGGGGCUCAACCCCGGUACUGCAUUGGAAACUGGUCAUCUAGAGUGUCGGAGGGGCAAGUGGAAUUCCUAGUGUAGCGGUGAAAUGCGUAGAUAUUAGGAGGAACACCAGUGGCGAAGGCGGCUUACUGGACGAUAACUGACGCUGAGGCUCGAAAGCGUGGGGAGCAAACAGAGAUUAGAUACCCUGGUAGUCCACGCAGUGACGAAUGAAUACUGUGUGUGGGGAAGCAUGUCUCUUCGCGUGCCGCCGCAACACGCAUUAAUGUACUCCGCGUGGGGAGUUCGCUCGCAAGGUUGUACACUCAAAGGAAUUGACGGGGGCCCGCACAAGUCGAUCGAUUAUGUGGUUUAAUUGCAAGCAACGAGACGAUCCCUGCCAGGGCCAUCCAUCUUACCAAUGAAGUAGAGAUACAUCCGGUGCCCUUAGGGGAAACUAGAGACACAUGGUGCUUGUUAGUUGUCAUCUUGUGUCGUGAGAUGUAGUGUUAAGUCGCGCACCGCGCGCAUCCCCUGUUGUCAGCUGGUAAGCAAGAGCACUCUAGAGAGACUGCCGUGGACAAAACGGAGGAAGGUGGGGACGACGCCAAAUCAUCAUGCCCCUUAUGUUCUGGGCGACACACGUAAUACAAUGGCGGUCACCAGAGGGAGGCAACACCGUAAGGGGGACCGACCCCAUAAAAGCCGUCCCAGUUCAGAUCGUGGUCUGCAACCCGCCCACGUGAAGUCGGAAUCGCUAGUAAUCGCGGAUCAGCAUGCCGCGGUGAAUACGUUCCCGGGCCUUGUACACACCGCCCGUCA